rnacentral:rRNA from 1 species
UACGUAGGGUGCAAGCGUUAAUCGGAAUUACUGGGCGUAAAGCGUGCGCAGGCGGUUUUGUAAGUCUGUCGUGAAAUCCCCCGGGCUCAACCUGGGAAUUGCGAUGGAGACUGCAAGGCUAGAAUCUGGCAGAGGGGGGGUAGAAUUCCACGUGUAGCAGUGAAAUGCGUAGAGAUGUGGGAGGAACACCGAUGGCGAAGGCAGCCCCCUGGGUCAAGAUUGACGCUCCAUGCACGAAAGCGUGGGGAGCAAACAGG